rnacentral:tRNA from 1 species
AGGAUAAUAGUUUAAUAAACAUUUAAGUUGCAUUUAAAAAAUAUUGGUCAUCCAAUUUAUCUUA